CUUGCGCCGGAGAAGCUGGAGUCGGAGAAGCCGUGGUCGCCGCCGGGACCUGCAAAAGAAGUCUAAACCGGAGGUGGGGUUGCUCCGGCAAGACCCUCCGACGCUCAAGUCAGUUCUCUGCCUCAACAAGAAUGGAGUGCUCGAACGGAGAAUUUAGCAGAGUUUUGAGAUAAGAAAUGAGCUUAUAGAAUAACGUAUCUGUGUCCCCCUUUUAUAGGCGGAGGAAGCAACGGGUUGAUGGCGACGUUUGUAACCGUCUGGCAGUGGACUGCCCAGGGUC
rnacentral:lncRNA from 1 species